rnacentral:lncRNA from 11 species
GGGGGCCUUUGUGAUGUCCUAGAGGUAUGGCAUAUAUGUUUGGGGAGAAGUAGGGGAAUUGCUUUCAUGGAAAUAGGCACUAGGGGCAUCCAGCUAAUGGCAUGAUAUGGCAUCCAGACUGAUAGUCAAAAUCAUGUUUUUUAGGUUUGACUCAGCACUUCCUAGGAAGGACCAUCUAUAAAGCCUGAGUCCACAAGGCCCUGGCAGGGCUGAGAGGCCUGCUGUUGUGCUGCAGAAGAGGCCAGAAACAUCUCCAGCCAGUCUGCCUGUUGCUGCCUCUGGGACUCCUUGUGAGUAGACUGCAGCCCCAGGCCCUUUCCAUCUGGGUGUGACUCAGCACUUCCUAGGAAGGACCAUCUAUAAAGCCUGAGUCCACAAGGCCCUGGCAGAGCUGAGAGGCCUGCUGUUGUGCUGCAGAAGAGGCCAGAAACAUCUCCAGCCAGCCUGCCUGUUGCUGCCUCUGGACUCCUUGUGAGUAGACUGCAGCCCCAGGCCCUUUCCAUCUGGGUGUGACUCAGCACUUCCUAGGAAGGACCAUCUAUAAAGCCUGAGUCCACAAGGCCCUGGCAGGGCUGAGAGGCCUGCUGUUGUGCUGCAGAAGAGGCCAGAAACAUCUCCAGCCAGCCUGCCUGUUGCUGCCUCUGGACUCCUUGCCUACUGCCCCCCUCCCUUUCUCCCAGCGCUGGACCUUGAUGAUGCCACUUCAUCCCACUCAAAAAUAAG